GACGAACGCUGGCGGCGUGCUUAACACAUCCAAGUCGGACGGAAAGGCCCUGCUUUUGUGGGGUGCUCGAGUGGCGAACGGGUGAGUAACACGUGAGUAACCUGCCCUUGACUUUGGGAUAACUUCAGGAAACUGGGGCUAAUACCGGAUAGGAGCUCCUGCUGCAUGGUGGGGGUUGGAAAGUUUCGGCGGUUGGGGAUGGACUCGCGGCUUAUCAGCUUGUUGGUGGGGUAGUGGCUUACCAAGGCUUUGACGGGUAGCCGGCCUGAGAGGGUGACCGGCCACAUUGGGACUGAGAUACGGCCCAGACUCCUACGGGAGGCAGCAGUGGGGAAUAUUGCACAAUGGGCGGAAGCCUGAUGCAGCAACGCCGCGUGCGGGAUGACGGCCUUCGGGUUGUAAACCGCUUUCGCCUGUGACGAAGCGUGAGUGACGGUAAUGGGUAAAGAAGCACCGGCUAACUACGUG
rnacentral:rRNA from 1 species